rnacentral:rRNA from 1 species
UACGUAGGUGGCAAGCGUUGUCCGGAUUUACUGGGCGUAAAGAGCGCGCAGGCGGUCGAUUUAGUCGCGUGUGAAAGCCCCCGGCUCAACUGGGGAGGUCACGCGAUACUGAUCGACUCGAAGGCAGGAGAGGGUAGUGGAAUUCCCGGUGUAGUGGUGAAAUGCGUAGAUAUCGGGAGGAACACCAGUGGCGAAGGCGACUACCUGGCCUGUUCUUGACGCUGAGGCGCGAAAGCUAGGGGAGCAAACGGGG